rnacentral:rRNA from 1 species
GACGACCGCUGGCGGCGUGCCUAAUACAUGCAAGUAGGACGCAGUUGCGAACGGGUGAGUAACGCGUAGGUAACUACCUAUUAGAGGGGGAUAACUAUUGGAAACGAUAGCUAAUACCGCAUACUAGUAGAUGGCCCUGCGUUGUAUUAGCGAGUAGGUAGGGUAAUGGCCUACCUAGGCAACGAUACAUAGCCGACCUGGGUGGGUAGGCGGCCACACGGGGACUGAGACACGGCCCAGAAUCCUACGGGAGGCAGCAUGAGUGAAUCUUCGGCAAUGGGGGGAAUCCUGACCGAGCAAAGCCGCGUGAGUGAAGAAGGUUUUCGGAUCGUAAAGCUCUGUUGUUAAGGAAGCGGUACUUAACCAGAAAGGGACGGCUAACUACGUGCCAGCCGCCGCGGUAAUUC